rnacentral:misc_RNA from 1 species
AAGUCGUAACAAGGUUUCCGUAGGUGAACCUGCGGAAGGAUCAUUAAUAAUCCAAAUUAUUAAAAAUUAUACCUCUUUUUUUUUUCUUGAAAGCUUUUUUUAUUAAUAAAAAGAGUUGAUAGGGGGAGAAAAGGGCGAUAUAAAAAAUUAUAUUGCAGGGGGGAGGAGAGAAAAGAGUAAGUUUAAUUUUAAAAUUACUUGAGUAUUUUUCUCCCCCAAAGGUGAUAAAACCUAUAUCUAAAAUCUAUGUAUAGCGCCCUUAUAUAUAAUAUAUGGGGGGUUCAAUGCACAGAGGAUAGAAAAUUUUUACACUAUGUAAAAAAAAAAAAAAUUGAUACAACUUUUAACAAUGGAUCUCUUGGCUCUU